UACGGAGGGGGCUAGCGUUGUUCGGAAUUACUGGGCGUAAAGCGCACGUAGGCGGCUUUGUAAGUUAGAGGUGAAAGCCCGGGGCUCAACUCCGGAAUUGCCUUUAAGACUGCAUCGCUAGAAUUGUGGAGAGGUAAGUGGAAUUCCGAGUGUAGAGGUGAAAUUCGUAGAUAUUCGGAAGAACACCAGUGGCGAAGGCGGCCAUCUGGGACAACACUGACGCUGAGGCACGAAAGCGUGGGGAGCAAACAGG
rnacentral:rRNA from 1 species